AGAGUUUGAUCCUGGCUCAGGAUGAACGCUGGCGGUAUGCUUAACACAUGCAAGUCGAACGAAGUCUUCGGACUUAGUGGCGGACGGGUGAGUAACGCGUAAGAAUCUAUCUACAGACUCGGGACAACAGUUGGAAACGACUGCUAGUACCGGAUAUGCCUUCGGGUGAAAGAUUUAUCAUCUGUAGAUGAGCUUGCGUCCGAUUAGUUAGAUGGAGUGGUAAUGGCACACCAUGGCGACGAUCGGUAACUGGUCUGAAAGGAUGACCAGUCACACUGGGACUGAGACACGGCCCAGACUCCUACGGGAGGCAGCAGUGGGGAAUUUUCCGCAAUGGGCGAAAGCCUGACGGAGCAAUACCGCGUGACUUUUGAAGGUCUGUGGAUUGUAAACCUCUUUUGUUAGGGAAGAUAAUGACGUACC
rnacentral:rRNA from 1 species